CUGUGCCCAGUUAUGCUCUAUCCCCCGCUCAUUUGCAUGUUCCUAGGGCACAGCCCACUUCCCUGAACGCUGAUUAAUGGGCCGGUCACACCCUGUGCAGGACCCAGUCCCGGUCAGGACACAGCAUGGACAUGAAGGCCCCUGCUCAGCUCCUGGGCUUCCUGCUGCUCUGGCUCCCAGGAGCCAGCUGCGAAAUCCAGAUGACCCAGUCUCCAUCCUCGCUGUCUGCAUCUCCAGGAGACAGAGUCACCAUCACCUGCCGGGCGAGUCAGAACGUUAACACGUGGUUAGCCUGGUUUCAGCAGAAACCGGGGAAAGUUCUGAUCUAUCGUGCAUCCACGUUGCAAACUGGGGUCUCCUCGCGGUUCAGCGGCAGUGGGUCUGGAACAGAUUUCACCCUCACCAUCAGCAGCCUGGAGCCUGAAGACGCUGCCACUUACCACUGCCAGCAAAGUAACAAUUUUCCUCGCACAGUGUUACAGACCAGACCAUAAACCACCAGGGACGCAGAUGCGAGAGGCCGGGCUGCCCCCGCCGCUCCUCCUGUGGCUGCAUCUGCUCAGAGAGUUUGUCAGACGCAGUCCCGCUCUGGGGGGUCACUGGGAGGCUUGGGGGAAGGGCAGGGAGGCGCCUCGGGCCCCUGACUGCCCUUCCCCCUCCUCAGUCCAGCAGCACAGACACGACAAUGUCUCUUCCGAUGUAAUCCAGACGGAGAUGUGGGCAAUGGCAUCCAUCAGGGUUCACACAGCAAAAGAGAAGCCACUCCAGAUUUCCAAGCAGGAAUUUUUUUGAUUGACUUUAAGUUGCAAAGAAAUUCUGUGUUCACAGCAAAAUGUAGCAGAAAGUAAAGAGAUCUCCCGAAUGUUCCCUGCUCACGCACAUGCACAUGAACAGCCUCCCCUACUGUCAACAUCCCCCACCAGAGUAGUGCAUUUGUUAUCGUCGAUGAGCCUACGUGGACACAUCAUUAUCACCCAAAGUCCAUAGUUUACACUGGCAUUUACUCUUGGGGUUUUGCACUCUGUGGGUUUGGACAAAUUCAUAACAUUAGCCGCCAUUUUCGCAUCGUAUGAAAUAGUAUCCUUGCCCCCCAGAUUCCUCUAUGCUCCACCUAUUAUCCCGCCAUCCCCACCCUAGCCUCU